AGUGUCCCAAACGCUAGAAAAUAUAGCAAAUGUUUUCAUGAUAAACAGAGGCUUUAUAUCUGUAAUAAGAUAAGGAAUAAUUGGACAAUUUCAAUAUAUUUCUCCAUUGAAGUAAGUGGGUAUAUAUACAUAUUACAAGGCCUUGUUAAGGCAACUCCUAAUAAUCCUCUAUCAAUCACUUAGCUUAUGAUUAUAUAAUUUCCUAUGAUUAUAUAAUUUCCUAUGAUUAUGUAAUCUCCUAUAAUUAUGUACAAAUUAUGUUCACACUCUAACACUCCCCCUCAAGUUGGAUCAUAGAUAUUUAUCAUGCCCAACUUGUUAGAAAGAUAUUCUAUUCGAGGCUCAUUUAAAGCUUUGGUGAGUAUAUCACCCAAUUGCUCUCCUGUCUUCACAUAACUGGUGGAGAUUAAAUUUUCUUGAAUUUUCUCUCGGAUGAAAUGACAAUCAAUUUCAAUAUACUUAGUCCGUUCAUGGUAUACUAGAUUGGAAGCAAUGUGAAGAGCAGCUUGAUUAUCACACCAAAAUUUCGCGGGUGAUGCAACAUCCAUACCAAUUUCCUUCAGCAGAUGAUUUAUCCAUUGAAUCUCCCAAGUAGAUUGAGCCAUGGCCUUAUAUUUUGACGUGGCACUGAAUCUGAAUACCACAUUUUGCUUCUUACUUUUCCAAGACACCAGGUUUCUUCCAACAAAUACACAGUAGCCUGUAGUCGACCUUCUAUCACUUUUGGAUUCCGCACAGUCAGCAUCAGAAAAACACUCAAGUGCAGUAUGCCCAUGAUAUCUGUAGAGUAUAUCCAGUCUAGAAAUCCCUUUUAGAUAACAUAAAAUUUGUUCCAGAGCGGCCCAAUGUUUCGCCGUAGGUGCAGACAUGAACUAGCUUACAAUGCUUACUGCAAAAGCAAUAUCUAGCCGAGUCAUCGCCAUAAGGUAGUUCAACUUUUCAACCAACCUCCUGUACCUCUCUAGAUCAUCAUAAGGGUCUCCAUCACCUUUUAUAAGACAUAUAUUAGGAAUCAUUGGUGUGCUACAUGGUUUAGCUCCCAUCUUUCUAGUUUCUGCAAGUAAGUCAAGGACAUACUUCCUUUGAGACAGAAAAAUUCUUUUUUUACUCCUCAAGACUUCGACUCCUAAGGAAUACUUAAGCUGACUCAAGUCUUUAGCAUGAAAACUCGCAUGCAAGUAGUUUUUGAGAGAAGAGAUCCCUGUACUAUCAUUCCCUGUAAUAACAAUAUCAUCAACAUAUACAAUAAGGAGAAUAAUACCAGUAUCUGAAUUUCUAUAGAAGACUGAAUGGUCACACUUGCAUUUUUUCAAUCAAAUGUUUGAACAACUUCACUGAACUUGCCAAACCAUGCACGGGGACUCUACUUCAAACCAUACAAAGAUUUCUUUAAAUGGCAGACUUUCUCAUACUCCCCCUGAGCAAGAAUCCCUGGUGGUCGCUCCAUAUACACCUCCUCUUGGAGGUCACCAUGUAAAAAUGCAUUCUUAGUAUUUAAUUGGUGUAAAGGCCAAUGCUGAGAAGCAGCUAGGGAGAUAAACAAGCGAAUUGAGGUCAUUUUUGCCACAGGAGAAAAAAUGUCAGAAUAGUCAACGCCAUGGGUUUAACAUAACCUUUAGCGACAAGACGGGCAUUAAGCCUCGAUAUGGAGCCAUCUGGAUUGACUUUGAUGGCAAAAACCCAUUUACAGCCCACAGCCUUCUUGCCAGAGGGUAAAUCAAUUAGUUCUCAAGUAUGAUUUUUCAUCUAGAGUCUUGAUCUCCUCAAACAUUGCAUCACGCCAUCUAGAAUGAGGCAGGGCCUCUUUAACUGUCUUGGGCAAAGAAAUGGAAUUUAGAGAGACUAUCAAGGAAGUAGAAGAAGGAUAUAGGUGAUCAUAAGACAGAAAGUUAGCAACAGAAUAGAUAGAUUUACACUGUCGUUUACCUUUACGAAGAGUAAUGGGGAGGUCAAGGUCACUUGGUGGUGGAUCUGAUGGCGAAGAAGAUUCUGGUGCAGGACAUGUAUCAUCAGGUACUGGUCUCCGAGAGUAAACUUGAACAACUGACGAUUAACAGGAGGCUGAGUAUUAGAAGGAAUGUUACCAUCAGAAGACAUACUCGAAGAGGUCCCAUUAUCAUAUAUGAUUCUAUAGAUGAGCCACUCAUCAUCAUCCUUUUGAUCAGGAGAUGUUUGUAUAACAGGAUAAAAAAGAACUUGCUCAGAAAAGACUACAUCUGUUGAGACCAGAUAUUUGUUGAGGUUUGGAGAGUAACACCGAUAUCUCUUCUGAAGGCGAGAAUAUCCCAAAAAAACACACUUCAAAGCUUUAGGAUCAAGUUUAGUCACGUAAGGUCUGACAUUCCGAACAUAGCUAGUACUGCCAAACAGUCGUGGUUUGAGAGGAAAUAAUAGCUUCUUAGGAAAGAGGACAUUAUAAGGAGUAUUACUGUUUAGUACUGCGGAGGGCAUGCGAUUAAUGAGAAAGUAUGCAGUAGAGACAGCAUCGGCCCAAAAUUGCUUAGGAACUUGCAUUUGAAACAACAGAGCUCUAGCAGUCUCAAGGAGAUGUCGAUUCUUUCUUUCAGCUACUCCAUUUUGAGCGGGUGUAUCAACACAUGACAAUUGGUGAAGUAUAUUAUGUUGAGACAUAUAAGCCUGGAAUGAUUCUGACAUAUAUUCUUUAGCAUUGUCGCUUAGCAAAAUUUGCAUAGAAACAUUAAAUUGAGUUUUGAUUUCAACACGGAAGGCAGAAGAAUGAGAAAACACUUCCGAACAUUGCUUCAUAAAAUAAAUCCAAGUCAUUCUAGAGUAAUCCACAAAAGUGAUAAAAUAUCUGAAUCCAGUUUUAGAUCCAACCGGGCAUGGGUCCCAAACAUUUGAAUGAACUAAUUCAAAAGCAGACUCAGCUCGUUUAUUGACUCUAGGACUUAGAGCUUGGAUGAUGUUUUGCAAAAUGAUAUGACUUAUUUUUCAAUAAAGAUACCUUAUGAAAUUGAGGGCAUAACUUCUUCAAAACCGGUAAAGAAGGGUGUCCUAACCGACAAUGUACUUCAAACAGAGACAUGACACUGGAGCAGGCAACAGACUGAGGCACCCAUGCAUCUAAAAUGUAGAGACCUCCAAAUACAUGUCCUUUACCAAUAAUCUGCUUCGUCACAAGAUCCUGAAUGAGACAAUGAUCAUGAAUGAGACAAUGAUCAGGAAAAAGGAAAAUACAAGAAUUUAGGUCUUUGGUAAGUUUACUCACAGAGAUUAAAUUAAAGGCAAGAUUAGGUAAACUUAGCACAGAUGAUAAGGUAAUAGAAGGAGUAGGUUUAAUAGUCUCAGAACCCUCAACAUUAUAGGUUGAUCCAUCAGCUAUAAUAAUAGGAGAAGGUGCUUUAUGAGAUCGAAAUCUAGUAAAAAUAUGAGGAUUACCUGUCAUGUGAUCCGUGGCACCAGAGUCAAUGACCCAUUUAUAUGAAGAGGAAAUAAAACACGUUUUAUCUGUCUCAGCCGCUACUGAAGACGUUGGGAUAAUUUUAAUAAUAUGGGUCUUACUGUCAGAAACCAUUUUAACCAAAAUCCUAUCCUCUUAUACCUUCAAACGAAUUAAAGAAAGAUAACAAAACCUAACCUAGUGAACAGUAUAACAAAAACCCGCCUCUACCCAACACCCAAACAACAAACGAACCAUAGAUCUGACAAGGGGGCUACAAGACAACUUUGGCGUCCUCCCUAGGUAGACGGUGAGAGACAAAUAUUAUCCUAGAUAGGUAACACAAAAGAACAGGAGCCCUAAGUCUCCAAAAAUUUAAAACUUGACGGAAGAGAAAAAAUUAAAUCUUUACAGGAAUGGCUCUGAUACCAUGUAAUAAGAUAAUGAAUUAUUGGGCAAUUUCAGUAUAUUUCUCCAUUGAAGUAAGUGAGUAUAUGUACAUAUUAUAAGGACUUGUUAAAACAACUCCUAAUAAUCCUUUAUCAAUCAAUUAGCCUAUGAUUAUGUAAUCUCCUAUAAUUAUGUACAUAUUAUGUUCA
rnacentral:lncRNA from 1 species